rnacentral:lncRNA from 1 species
UUACAUUUUAUCAGCCAUCUUUUACGGUUAUUGAGUAAAUCCGAUAACAAGCUAAGGUCAAAAUCUAGGUCAUGACCUUGACCUUUGAUCAAUUUUCAUGGUCACGUGAAUUGAUGAUCAUUGGUGAUGAUCCUAGGUGGCUACAACUUACGGUUUCUGAGUUUUAGUGGCCAACCGACAUUGGUUAAUUUUCAAAGGGGCAUAAAUAACCCUACCAAUGAGUGGUUGAAUCUUCUCGAUCCAAAUGUAACGAAGAACCAGGGUCUGUUCCUGAACAAAUUCCACC